AUUGAACGCUGGCGGCAGGCCUAACACAUGCAAGUCGAACGGUAACAGGAAACAGCUUGCUGUUUCGCUGACGAGUGGCGGACGUGUGAGUAAUGUCUGUGAAACUGCCUGAUGGAGGGGGAUAACUACUGGAAACGGUAGCUAAUACCGCAUAACGUCGCAAGACCAAAGAUGGGGACCUUCGGGCCUCUUGCCAUCGGAUGUGCCCAGAUGGGAUUAGCUAGUAGGUGGGGUAACGGCUCACCUAGGCGACGAUCCGUAGCUGGUCUGAGAGGAUGACCAGCCACACUGGAACUGAGACACGGUCCAGACUCCUACGGGAGGCAGCAGUGGGGAAUAUUGCACAAUGGGCGCAAGCCUGAUGCAGCCAUGCCGCGUGUGUGAAGAAGGCCUUCGGGUUGUAAAGCACUUUAAGUGGGGAGGAAGGGAGUUAAGUUAAUACCUUGGCGUAUUGACGGUACCCGCAGAAGAAGCACCGGCUAACUACGUG
rnacentral:rRNA from 1 species